GAACGCAGCGAAAUGCGAUAAGUAGUGUGAAUUGCAGAAUUCAGUGAAUCAUCGAAUCUUUGAACGCACAUUGCGCCCCUUGGUAUUCCAUGGGGCAUGCCUGUUCGAGCGUCAUUUGUACCUUCAAGCUCUGCUUGGUGUUGGGUGUUUGUCUCCUGUAGACUCGCCUUAAAACAAUUGGCAGCCGGCGUAUUGAUUUCGGAGCGCAGUACAUCUCGCGCUUUGCACUCAUAACGACGACAUCCAAAAGUACAUUUUUACACUCUUGACCUCGGAUCAGGUAGGGAUACCCGCUGAACUUAAGCAUAUCAAUAAGCGGAGGAA
rnacentral:rRNA from 1 species